UUGGCAAAGUCGCUUACAGGCUGAACCUACCUGAAGAACUCAGUGGAGUUCACAACGUAUUCCAUGUGUCGAAUCUGAAGAAGUGUCUGUCAGAUGAGACCCACAUAGUUCCUCUCAAAGAGCUCACAAUCGACGACAAGCUGCGAUUCGUUGAGGAACCAUGCCAAUGAUGAUGUAGAAAUCACGGACCGGGAUGUAAAGGUCCUCAAAAACAAGAGAAUCCCUCUUGU
rnacentral:lncRNA from 1 species